ensembl:snoRNA
AUCCUUUUGUAGUUCAUGAGCGUGAUGAUUGGGUGUUCACAUACAUGUGUGAGAUGUGUCACCCUCGAACCUCGUGGCGAUGUUGGAAUAUUACCUGUCUGACA